rnacentral:rRNA from 1 species
GGAUCCCAUCAGAACUUUGAAGUUAAGCGUGCUUGGGCGAGAGUAGUACUAGGAUAGGUGACCUCCUGGGAAGUCCUCGUGCUGCAUUCCUUUUUUCAUUAUUAUUUUUGCUACACGCGAGAAACAUGACACACGUGCGCGGUAAAUAAUUGAACGCACGUGUGGGGAAAUAUUAAACGCAGUUUCUCAUUUCUGACGUUUGCGGUGAGUUGCAGUUUGCGGAUCGAUAUUGACGCGUGUAGGGGCAGCGUUAUGGUGGGAGAGGCACCGCUUUAUGAAAGCGUUCGACGGCAUGUGAAAACUCUGGCAACGUUGGCGACGGAGAGGGAGGGGUGAAAACCUUGGUAAACGUGGGAACGGUUGUUGAGCUGGAGAGAACGUAGUAUGGUGAAGUAUCGAGCGGUGACAAGGAAUGUGCGGUAGAGUUUGUAGCGGAGCUUGGAGGGAGGAGCAUAAGGGACGAAGGGAUAAGAAACAUGU